AUACGUAGGGUGCAAGCGUUAAUCGGAAUUACUGGGCGUAAAGCGUGCGCAGGCGGUUUUGUAAGAAAGUGGUGAAAUCCCCGGGCUCAACCUGGGAACUGCCAUUGUGACUGCAAGGCUGGAGGGCGGCAGAGGGGGGUGGAAUUCCGCGUGUAGCCGUGAAAUGCGUAGAUAUGCGGAGGAACACCGAUGGCGAAGGCAAUCCCCUGGGCCUGCACUGACGCUCAUGCACGAAAGCGUGGGGAGCAAACAGGAUUAGAUACCCUGGUAGUCCACGCCCUAAACGAUGUCAACUGGUUGUUGGGGAUUUAUUUUCUCAGUAACGAAGCUAACGCGUGAAGUUGACCGCCUGGGGAGUACGGCCGCAAGGUUAAAACUCAAAGGAAUUGACGGGG
rnacentral:rRNA from 1 species